rnacentral:lncRNA from 1 species
CAAUUAAUUUAUUGUAAUUCUUGUCUCAAACUUUCAGAAUUAUUGCAAUUAAAUUCUAUAACCUAAUAUUUAGUUAACUAAAUAUUAAAGUAUUGCUAAUGUAGAAGUGAUGCAACGGUAUUCUGAUUAACUGUGAUUGAAAAUACUACACUAAUUAAGGUGCAGUAUCACUUUUAUAUCAGUAAUGUAUCAACAUUUAGUUAACUAAACUAUGUAAUGGGACUUCAAGUCAGAAAUUUUAACAAAUCAAAGUUUGGGGACCAAAAUGCUACCAAUCUUAUAGUUUGAGUACCAAGCAUUCAAUUUACUCUUUAUAUUAUUAGUUUUCAAAAUGGGCUUGCACUUUUUAAUUUUUACUUGUUAACAUUUACUUGUUGAAGAAGAUGAUAGCCCGUAAAAAAAUGUUAAAGAUCAAAUUAGUUAAUGUAACACUUUUCUAUAGUUCACACCAAAAAUAUCUAACUUUUAUUCUUUGAUCUUACUCUAAUAUCGCUUCAAAAUUAUUAUUCCAUAACAUAUCACUUCAAAGUUAUCAUUCCAUAACGUCGACAUAUCACUUCAAAUUUAUUUUCAAAAGUUUAUAUUUUUUUACUUAAACUUUAAAAAUUUUACAAUUAAUCACCUAGAUUUACAUUUUAACCAUUUAAA